rnacentral:lncRNA from 10 species
CCUGAGGUAAUGUUGGGGCCCCUGGUUUUUACUGUUGAUAAUUAUUUUAAAACUGCAGUGACCUCACUGUUGCAUUUAAUUUUUUUAAACACAAGGGCUGGGGGUGGUGGCUCACACCUGUAAUCCCAGCACUUUGGGAGGCUGGGGCAGGGAGAUCACUUGAGGCCAGGAUUUCAAGACUAGCCUGGCCAACAUGGCGAAUCCCUGCCUCUAAUAAAAAUACAAAAAUUAGUUUGGUGGCACACACCUGUAAUCCCAGCUACUCAGGAGGCUGAAGCACAAAAAUCGCUUGAACCCGGGAGGUGGAGCUUGCAGUGAGCUGAGAUUGCACCACUGCACUCCAGCCUGGGUGACAGAGUGAGACCCUGUCUCAAAAAAAAAAAAAUGUAAUUUACACAAAAAACUACACACAAAGUAUAUAAUUUGAUAACUUUUUGACAUACAUAUAUAGCCAUGAAAUCAUAGCUACAGUCAAGAUAACAAAUGUAUCCACCACCCCAAAAAUAUCCUCACACCUCUUAUUCCUGGGCCUGCUUCCCCUACUCCAUAUUCAGGACGCAGUCCUAAGGCAAUCCGCUUUCUGCCAUUAAAGACUAGUUUGCAUUUCUGAAAUUGGACUCAGCAUUUACUCUUCCAUCAUCUGGCUUCCUACUCAACGUAAGUAUUUUGAGAUUCAUCCAUGUUGCUGCAUGUCUCAUUGGUUCAUUCCUCUUCAUUGCUAAGUAGUAUUCCAUCGCAUGGAUGUACCACAGUGGGUUUAUCCAUUUAUCUGCUGACGGACAUUUGGGUUCUUUUCAGUUUGUGAUUAUAACACAUAAACGUGCUAUGGAGUUCAUGUUUUAAUCUUUGUAUGAACACAUGAUUUCAUUUCUCCUGGGUAUAUACCCAGCUGUCAAAUGCCUAGGUCAUAUGAUAGGUGCAUGUUUAACUAUUUAAGAAACUGCCAGACUGUUUUCCAAAGUGAUUGUAACAUUUUACGUUGUUACCACCAGCAGCUAUGAGAGUUCCAGGUGUGCUGCGUCAUCCUGGAUGCUUGCCAUGGUCAAUCGUUUUGAGUUUAGAUAUUCCAACAGGUGUGCAGUGGGAUCUCACUAUGGUUUCAAUUUGCAUUUCCCUAACAAAUGAUCCUGAGCCUCUUCUAUGUGCUGCUUUGCCAUCUGGUUAUCUUAUUUGGUGACACAUCUAGUAAAAUCUUUUGCUCAUUUUGGGCAGUUGUUACCUUAGUAUUGAGUUUUGACAGUCCUUUUUAUAUUCUAGAUACGUCCUUUAUUAGAUAUCCAUUUUGCAAAGCCUGUAACUUGUCUUUUUAUUUUUUUAACAGUAUCUUUCAAAAACAGAAGUUCUCAAUGUUGAUGAAGCUCAGUUUAUCAAGUUUUUCCUUUAUGUAUUGUGUUUUUGGUAUUGUGUCUAAGACAUCUUUGCCUGAGAUGAGAAGUUGUAUGGUUUAAGGUUUUACACUUAGGCCUGUGGUCCAUUUUGAGUUUGUUUUUGUACACAGUGUAAAGUAUGAAUUAAAGUUUGGUUUAUUUUUUGCAUAUAGAUAUUCAAUUAUUCCAGCACCAUUUGUUGACAGGCUAUUGGUAUGGUCUAAAAGUUUGUACCCUCUGCAGAUUUGUAUGUAGAGAUCCUAAUCCCCGAGGUGAUUGUAUUAGGAGGUGGGGUGUUUGGGGAUCUUAUUAAGUCAUGAGGGCAGAGCCUUCAUGAAUGCCAUUAGUGCCCUUAUAAAAGAGCCUCAGAGACCUGCCUUGUCCGUUCCACAUUGGGAGGACACAGUGAGAAGACUGUGAGUCUAUGAGGAAGCAGAGCCCUGGCCAGACACCGAAUCUGCUGCCACCUUGAUCCUGGACUUCUCAGCCUCCAGAACUGUGAGAAAUACAUUUAUGUUGUUUAGAAGGGUACAGAUUAUGGUAUUUGAUCAUAGCAGCCUGAGUGGACUCAGACAACCAUCCUUUCUCAACUGAAUCGAUGUUGCACAUUUGUUGAAAAUCAAUCGUCCAUAUAUGUGUAGAUCUAUUUCUGGACUGUGUAUUCUGUUUCAUUGAUCUAGUCUACCUUUGUGCCAAUGCUAUACAGUUUUGAUUACUAAAGAUUAUAAGUUUUAGAAUCAGCUAGUGUAAACAGUGAAAAUCACUGAGAGUUCAGAAGUUAAAGUUGUACUGCGGUUUCAAA